rnacentral:rRNA from 1 species
UCAGUGGCGAACGGGUGAGUAACACGUUGGUACCUACCCUGAAGUGGGGGAUAACUCCGGGAAACCGGGGCUAAUACCGCAUGUGAUCGUGAGAUCAAAGCAGUAAUGCGCUUCAGGAGGGGCCUGCGUCCCAUUAGCUUGUUGGUAGUGUAAAGGACUACCAAGGCAACGAUGGGUAGCUGGAUCGAGAGGUUGACCAGCCACACUGGGACUGAGAUACGGCCCAG